GACGUAGGGCGCGAGCGUUGUCCGGAUUUAUUGGGCGUAAAGAGCUCGUAGGCGGCUUGUUGCGUCGGCUGUGAAAACCCAUGGCUCAACCGUGGGCUUGCAGCCGAUACGGGCAGGCUAGAGUUCGGUAGGGGAGACUGGAAUUCCUGGUGUAGCGGUGAAAUGCGCAGAUAUCAGGAGGAACACCAACGGCGAAGGCAGCUCGCUGGGACGGUACUGACGCUGAGGCGCGAAAGCGUGGGGAGCGAACAGG
rnacentral:rRNA from 1 species